AGCUUGCUACCUGACCUAGCGGCGGACGGGUGAGUAAUGCUUAGGAAUCUGCCUAUUAGUGGGGGACAACAUUCCGAAAGGAAUGCUAAUACCGCAUACGCCCUACGGGGGAAAGCAGGGGAUCUUCGGACCUUGCGCUAAUAGAUGAGCCUAAGUCAGAUUAGCUAGUUGGUGGGGUAAAGGCCUACCAAGGCGACGAUCUGUAGCGGGUCUGAGAGGAUGAUCCGCCACACUGGGACUGAGACACGGCCCAGACUCCUACGGGAGGCAGCAGUGGGGAAUAUUGGACAAUGGGCGAAAGCCUGAUCCAGCCAUGCCGCGUGUGUGAAGAAGGCCUUUUGGUUGUAAAGCACUUUAAGCGAGGAGGAGGCUACUUAGAUUAAUACUCUAGGAUAGUGGACGUUACUCGCAGAAUAAGCACCGGCUAACUCUGUGCCAGCAGCCGCGGUAAUACAGAGGGUGCGAGCGUUAAUCGGAUUUACUGGGCGUAAAGCGUGCGUAGGCGGCUUCUUAAGUCGGAUGUGAAAUCCCUGAGCUUAACUUAGGAAUUGCAUUCGGUACUGGGAAGCUAGAGUAUGGGAGAGGAUGGUAGAAUUCCAGGUGUAGCGGUGAAAUGCGUAGAGAUCUGGAGGAAUACCGAUGGCGAAGGCAGCCAUCUGGCCUAAUACUGACGCUGAGGUACGAAAGCAUGGGGAGCAAACAGGAUUAGAUACCCUGGUAGUCCAUGCCGUAAACGAUGUCUACUAGCCGUUGGGGCCUUUGAGGCUUUAGUGGCGCAGCUAACGCGAUAAGUAGACCGCCUGGGGAGUACGGUCGCAAGACUAAAACUCAAAUGAAUUGACGGGGGCCCGCACAAGCGGUGGAGCAUGUGGUUUAAUUCGAUGCAACGCGAAGAACCUUACCUGGUCUUGACAUAGUAAGAACUUUCCAGAGAUGGAUUGGUGCCUUCGGGAACUUACAUACAGGUGCUGCAUGGCUGUCGUCAGCUCGUGUCGUGAGAUGUUGGGUUAAGUCCCGCAACGAGCGCAACCCUUUUCCUUAUUUGCCAGCGGGUUAAGCCGGGAACUUUAAGGAUACUGCCAGUGACAAACUGGAGGAAGGCGGGGACGACGUCAAGUCAUCAUGGCCCUUACGACCAGGGCUACACACGUGCUACAAUGGUCGGUACAAAGGGUUGCUACCUAGCGAUAGGAUGCUAAUCUCAAAAAGCCGAUCGUAGUCCGGAUUGGAGUCUGCAACUCGACUCCAUGAAAUCG
rnacentral:rRNA from 1 species